rnacentral:rRNA from 1 species
GACCCCAGGUCAGGCGGGGCCAC